UUUGCGGUGAAGGAUAAAAAGUCAGCGUGUUUCUUUGCUACGCCCGGUUGCAAGCUUCUCAACGAACGCAUUCAGUGUGCGAAUUUGACUUUGUUGUGAGUGACGCUGUCAUGGUCGUUGAUUUGCUCGCAAACAACCCUGGUAAGAACCAUCCCACCCCACUCUAUGUGCCCUGGAACACGUGACCCGGAACACACCUACGUGUUUCAAGUAAAAUUUCCUCCACUUGUCACGCCGAAGAAUUUUAUUGUAUGUUUCUGUUCAGCGUGACCACCAUUGCAGUGUUAGAGCACGGAACCGAACGCAAGGUUGUUCAGUACUGGCCGCUAAUUGGGUUCAGGUUGAAAAACAAAUCUCCCUCGUUUGCUCGGACAUUUAACAUACUCUGUGCAUUUGAUAGAGAGUGUAUUUUCUUGUAUUUCUUCUAUUUUGCAUGUGUUAGU